rnacentral:tmRNA from 1 species
CCUCUUCCAAUCGGGCCAAACCGCGCUUAUAUAAGUCCUGCUGGCGCAAGCCAGCUAUGGUAAUAAAUGGACGGUGUAAUAAACCUAUUGGACCCGGGGGCGGUACCCGGCGCCUCCACCAGAGCACAAGCGGGCGGUCAACAAGGAUGCCGGUUUGUGUUGUGGCGGGGGCGAAACAGGAUCGACAAGGGUGUAAAGAUCGCUCUUUUACUCGGCAUGAUACCACCGUUAUCGGGUCAAAAGUGUAGUUGCAAAUGACAACAACGCUAAGGGUUACGCUCUCGCUGCCUAAUGGCGGCGCGGGAAACCCGACCUAAGCCCUUAGGGUUAGCACCUUAAGGCGGGGUUCGGAGGCACCUGGCAACAGAAGCCUCCACU